CGGACGGGUGAGUAAUGUCUGGGAAACUGCCUGAUGGAGGGGGAUAACUACUGGAAACGGUAGCUAAUACCGCAUAACGUCGCAAGACCAAAGAGGGGGACCUUAGGGCCUCUUGCCAUCGGAUGUGCCCAGAUGGGAUUAGCUAGUAGGUGGGGUAACGGCUCACUUAGGCGACGAUCCCUAGCUGGUCUGAGAGGAUGACCAGCCACACUGGAAUUGAGACACGGUCCAG
rnacentral:rRNA from 1 species